GUACGUAUAUGUGUGAGUGUGUAUGUAUGUAGGAGUUUGUGUAUUUGUAGGCCUGGAGAGUUGCGAUUCAAUCUAGAUGCCUCAGUCCGCAGAUUGAGAUAGCUUCACAGCAAGUUGCCAUGGAGACAGCCUUGGUCAGGUCCUAGACAGAGUCAACAAUCAACAGGUGUCUGUGGAAGAGGGGGAGAAAUGCAAGAGCGUCUCACUGCAGUGCUCCUCCGGGAGAGUUGUUAUUUCCAACAUUUACCUUGGCCAAUAGCUGGUAGAGGGAGCUGAAAGAAGAUAAGAUUCCAAUUGUUUGGUCUUGGGGCAAGUAGCCGCAUUCCAAUUUCACGGUCACUCUCUUGUCCAUUCUGGUCUCCAAAUCAUGACGGGCAGCCUUGUGAGGCUUUGGACAGCUGUUCCCGUUUUCUGAAUUUUUCGAUAACCCAGGACAAAGCCUAGUCCAAUCAGCAGAAGACCUGUUAUCAUGGUUCCGAGUAGGUAGAUGUCUUCAAUGUCCUCCACGGAAAAAGCUGCCAGACACACGACCCGCCAUCUCUCCCACGCGUGUCAUCGUGUAGCCAGCUGCGAACGUUCCGGCAGGGCAGUCAGGUUCCCCCGAACCCAAGCUUCUCAUCGAGAAGAUGGUGUCAAUUGCGUUGAGAGACCAGUCGAUCAAAUCAAAUCCAUGUUUUCCAGUUUUGGAGAGCAGUGCAGAGAGAGUCUCUCAGAGUAGAUGAGACGAGAGAGCAAGCAGGGAAGGCAAGGGGAGGAGAGAGAGAGAAAAGCGUCCGCCUCCGUUGAGAGCCAAAGAAGAACUCUUCUGGCUCUUCUAACUCUGGCACUUCACUGUUUAUUUUAGACGUAAAAUAAACAGUGAAAUGCUUGGCAGCAGAGGGUGCCAAAUGUUUACCAUUAAUGGAAAUAAUGGUUAAAGAACAUAAAAAAAAACAGUCAGUGACUGGCAGAAGCAGUUGCCAAACAAAAAAUUAAGUUAACCAUCAGCUAACAACAGCGCACAAGCAAAAACUAAUAACUACAUCAGCAACUCCACAGUUACUGCCUUUAAAUAAAGCGACAUGCAGCUUAAUAAAGUUUGAAGUCAUCGUUGUGGAUAUAAGCAUUUGCUUUAGUUGGGCUUCUGACCCUUGACUUUUUAACAAUAUAUGUAUUUUUUUUUCUAAUGCUGUAAACGUACUUUUCUAAAGCAUAUUUGUUACAGCAAAACCUGUGAGGAAAAUUAUAGUCGGAUGAAGUUGUUUACUUACUGAUGAUGAUCUUGACAUCACUUAUUACAA
ensembl:lncRNA